AGGUGUGGUGGACCAGUUUACUUAAUGGAGGGCAUUGCUUGCAUUUCUACUAACCAUAAAAUUGUACAAAUUGAAAUGACAAAAUAAACAAAACAAAACAAAAAAGAGCCUGAUGGAAACACAGCAAUUUUGAAAAACAUGUUUUCCAAUAAUCUAGGAUGAGGUGGGUUUUUGACUGUAUUGAAAUAGAUGGUUUGUUUUUGUUUUUAUCAAUGAGCAGCUGUCUCCAGCAGAGCUCUCACAUUGUCACAGUUCAUAAAAUGUUGUGUGUUGAAUCCAUAGCUCUUCUGUAACAUCAGCAACUACGAUUUCCCCAAAAUGCCACUCCCAAAUCUAAGAAACUUGCUGCUCCAAUGCCUGAAUAUGCUGGCGUUCCCUCUGAUUGGCUCAUAGAUGAUGAGCUCUAUCACUACAGCUGAAUUAUGGAUAUAUUUUAUGUAACUGUUUACAUACAUUGCUGCCAUGUUUUGUAAUAUUCUUAUUCACGUGUGAUUUUAAUUUUAUUUUUUAUUUAAUGGAAGCAUCGCAAUUGUGAAAUUGUGUUCUUUUGACUUUAGCAGAGUAAUUACAAAGACUUCCAGACAGUUGUAAUGGGAAUACAACCAAUGUUGGGUCUGGAGAAGAUGUUCACAUUAAGGGAAACCAGAUAAAUCCACAAACACAAGAAAAUAAUGUUGUUUAAAAUAACAUAUCAAAGAAAUACAUUAUUUUCAAAUAUGGAAUUUGAAAAUAUGAUAUUUCAAUAUACUAUUUCAGCUCCUCUGAGGUUGUCUGACCCACUGGGAGGCCAUAAGUGAGGAAACAUUAUAACCCACUUAUAUGGAGUCAAUCAUGUUCUCACACUGAAUGGUUUUGUGUUGCUGUCUGAGCCGCUGCUUCAGAGGGGAAAAUCACAGUGACGGCAAAUAUCCUUCACACUUUAAACAUGAGUGCUGUUGUCAUGGCAGUGCAGUGUCACUGACAGUUGGCAUGUGAGAACUGCCCUCCAGCAGCCGGGAAGGAACUCCAACAAAACCAGGCUGAACAUGACGGUUCUGCAUGUCAGGAAGAAAAUCCUUGCAGCUGCUGUCAGCUCCAGACUCAAGCCGUAGAUCUGACAUCACAAACAUACAGGAAGGCAGGAAGGUAGGAAGGUAGGAAGGAAGGAAGUUGACAUAUCUCGGCAGGUUUGUUUUUGCUCCAUAUGGAUCAGAGCUCAGUGACGUUUAAAGCUUAGACUAUUGUCCAAAGAAGCCAGCCUUAAUCUUCUCCACAGCGUUCUCCCUGACCCGUCUGCUGCAGUUCUUUAACGUUCUCUAAACACCUGGGGCCAGAAAAACAACAGCUGGAUUUAUACAGUAUAAAUAUCAUACUGAGACUAAAUGAUGCACAACUGAACUCUAUUUACUAAUAAGAUGACUGCUGAAGGCGAUUGGCUGUCUGUGAGUUUGGUUGGAGCUAACAGGAAAGGAGUUCUAGAGCAGAGAUAUUUAGAUCAGAAUUACAACAAAUUACUGGAUCCUGUUUAUUCUACAUUCAUAAACCACAAUCAGACACAUCUAAGUUAAUUAGAAUGUGUUCUGAUGAGGCUCGCAUGUCAGAUUAAAAGUACCUUUUGAAAAUAAAAACCUUUAAAGUUACCUUUAAUAUAUUUUUUAUUAUGCCCACAUUAAGUCAAAUUUUAAUAAGACCAUCACUAGUUAUAGAGUCCUGGCCCUACAAUUCCAGUGAAAGAAAGUCUUAAUGAGAAUUUUAUGUUGCCAACUUGGGGAACUUUUGAGAUGAACUCAGAAGUCAUUAAUGAUCUGCAAAACAAGUCCACAUGACUCAAAACCUCAAAAGUCCUGGAUUUCCGGAAAACUAACCAGCCUGUCAUAUUUUCUGGAUCCUAUCUCCUUCUUGGAAAGAAAAGAAAAGAAAAG